rnacentral:lncRNA from 1 species
CUCUUUCAAUCUAAACAACACAAUUUCUCAAUCUCCCUAAAACAAAUCAACCAAAAUCUUCAUAUCUAUUUCCUAAUUUUUUUUUUUUCAGAUUCAAUAACAAUGAGAAAAUCAACCAAAAUCUUCAAAACAUCCACAACAACUACAACUAGCAGUUGAAAAAAUCCAGCAAUAAAAAUCCAAAAAUUAAUUAUCAAGAAAAGUGACUUUGGUGCUAAAUCCAAUUUGGUUAACUAGCACAACACCCAAUUGAAUCCAAGGUUGAAGAACAACACCAAUUUCCAAUUUUUUUCCUGAGGUAGAUUGAAUGUUGUUGGUGUUUUUGAGAUGAUGAAUUUGAGUUUUUAAAUGUUUUAUAUUUUAGAUUUGAAUAUGAAUGAAGGUGUUGAAGAUGAUUUGAUUCUGUUUGGUGAUUUGUCUUUUUUUUUUCUUUGUUGUUGCUGCUGCUUAUUGAGUUGUUGUUAUUGUUUGUUCUUGUUGUUGGUGUUGUUCUUUUUUUCUUUUUCUUUUUCAUGAAAGUGUUGUUGGUGGUGUUCUUAUUUUCCGGAAAAUGGGGGAAGAAGAUGAAGAAUUUAAGUGGAGAAGAUGAAUAAAAUAAAUUUAGUUUUUCAGCCAAUGCCAAAAUGACACGUGGAUAGCAGGUAACGUUUUUUGAUUAAAACUAACGGAAGGGACCAAAACAUGUAACGGAGAUAAAGAUAAAGUACCAAAACAAUCUUUUUUUUUUUUUUACUUAAGGGACCAAAGCGAUACCAAAUAAUAACUUAAGGGACGAAAAGAGAAAUUAAACCUUAAGUCAAAUUGUCAUAAGAACGAUUAUUACAGUCUGUCUUAGGCAACGGCCUAGGGCCCAUGCCUGUAGAGGGCCCAAAUUUUGUUGUUGUUGUUGAGAGGGACGUAUGUAGCAAAUCUUGUAUUUAUAGAGGGUGUGUAUAUCAAAAAUCACUAUGAAGUCCCAAACAUUUAUCUGUCCAGCAGCCCUUCACCCUUUUCUUUUUACAACUUAGCAGAAUUUCCUUUUCACGGCCCCAACACUUUCAUUUUCACAUCCCCUAGCAAUUCAUUUGCCAAAACACAAUAUUGAGAAGUAAAACCUAAAACACAAAAGAAAAUAAAAUUGAGAAAAUCAAAUUAAGAGUGUUAAAUCCAUUAUAUUUAAAUGUCCCCAAAGAAUAUUGACUUGGUUGAAAUUAGAUGAAUGUAGUGAUGAAGUGAUAAUGAUGCAAACAAUGGAGGAUCUUGCCUAAAAUAUUAGGAGGAACGAAAAAUACUAUCAUAAAAGUCCUAUACAAUUUUAUACAAUUGGGGGGGAGCCAAGUGAGUAAGAGUCUAAUAAUUUUCUCUAAAUGUGAGAUGUAUUUUGAUAUCUUCUUAUAAAAUUUAUUUAUUUAUUUUAUAUGGGAUAUGAUUUACAUUUUAAUUUGAUGUAGGAAAUGGUUUACGAUGCUUUUGAGAUGUGUCAUACGAGGAGCCUCAAUGUGCUAACAAAUAUCAUAUUCAAAAUGAGAACAUACAAAGAUUUUAUGUAUAGGAGAAAAAUAAGUUGUUGUUUGAACUUUCUCAAAAUUGAAUUGUGUGUGAGGUUUUAGGUGUCACCUAAAAUUGAAAUGUUCAUAAUCGAUAAUUGGAUUUAUUUUUAAAAUGAUGUUGGAUGAACUCAUUUGAGUUGGUUUGGUGGUGUUG